rnacentral:lncRNA from 1 species
UAUAUAUAGUGUGAGGCUACUAUGCUAUCGGAAGCACGGAGCCUUCCGUGCUUUCAGCUCGUUUUCGAUGUUGUGACUUUCAAAUCGUCGAUCGGCUCCGUUAAAUUUGAUCUAGAGUAUUUGAAGUACCUAGAAAAUAAAUUUUACGAUUUUUUGAUAUCAUUUGCCUAGUGAUCGAAGGGGCUCAAAAUCAAUAAUUUUAAUGGUCACAGUGAGCUGUUUGCAAGUUUAACGGUGUAGAAAUAUCCAAAUCACGUGAAAUUUUGAUAGAAAAUUCUUUAUGCUAUAUAAAACAAGAUCAAUAUAUUUGAUCUAAAAUUUUAACGUCAUAUUAUCACGUUUUGUAAGAUUUUUAUUUUCAGCCGUUGAUUUUGAGCCCCUUCGUUCACUAGGCAAAUAAUAUCAAAAAAUUGCAUAAUUUAUUUUCUAAAUACUUCAAAUACUCUAGAUCAAGUUUAACAGAGCCGAUCGACGAUUCAAAAACCGCAACAUCGAAAACGAGCUGGAAGCACGGAGGGCUCCGUGCUUCCGAUAGCAUAGUAGCCUCACUCUAUAUAUAUAUAUAUAUAUUCCCCCACCCCCCAACCCCUCCUAAAACCCUCAUUUAAUACACAACCCCCCUCAGCUAGCAUGAUCACCUC